UUGGGGUGGAACCCCCGAGGAGCGUAAUGAAGGUGAAGGUGGCCUCGUGCCGCCGAGGCGCGGGCCCGUCGCGUGGCGGGCGCAGCGUCUACCGAUCCCAGUCCACGCCGUGGCGGGAUUCGAGUCGGAGCGCGCAUGUUGCGACCCGAAAGAUGGUGAACUAUGCCCGAGUAGGGCGAAGCCAGAGGAAACUCUGGUGGAAGCUCGCAGCGGUUCUGACGUGCAAAUCGAUCGUCGAACUUGGGUAUAGGGGCGAAAGACCAAUCGAACCAUCUAGUAGCUGGUUCCCUCCGAAGUUUCCCCCAGGAUAGCUGGAGCCCGGUGCAGUUUUAUCAGGUAAAGCGAAUGAUUAGAGGUCUUGGGGCUGAAACAGCCUCAACCUAUUCUCAAACUUUAAAUGGGUAAGAGGGCCGGCUUGCUCGGCUGAAGUCGGCGAGUGGAAUGCCGGGGCUCCUAGUGGGCCAUUUUUGGUAAGCAGAACUGGCGAUGCGGGAUGAACCGAACGCCGAGUUAAGGUGCCGGAGUCGACGCUCAUCAGAUCCCAGAAAAGGUGUUGGUUGAUCUAGACAGCAGGACGGUGGCCAUGGAAGUCGGAAUCCGCUAAGGAGUGUGUAACAAC
rnacentral:rRNA from 1 species